rnacentral:tRNA from 3 species
CUGCCUGUAGCUCAGCUGGAUAGAGCAGCGGACUUCUAAUCCGCGGGUCGGAGGUUCGAAUCCUCUCAGGCAGGCCA